UAAAAUCAAUGAAAAGUACUUUAAAAAAUUGUAAAUUUCAUAUGUUGUGGUUACACUGAUCUUUUCUUUGAACAUUUCUGCUGUGAAAUUCUUUUUUUUAAUACAAUGAUUUAAUACCUGCAUUUGGAGACUUAAACUUCUUACAGAUGCUAAUUAAUUAAUUAGGCAAAUAGGUUUGAGGGUAGUUAUGAAGUAGUAAUUUCAGUUUGUGCUCUUCCAGUAACUCAGCAUGACUUUCACUCUCAUUUCUAGCAGAUAUUACAGUGAGAGAUGAGCAUUUCAGUUUGCAGCUGACAGUUUAGGGUUAAGAUAUGAUUCCAGGUAACAGAAGCCAAUGAGAGUACACCCAGUUGAUGUUUGUGACAUCAUCUUCCAGUCGGAGUACAUAGAACAGCUGAGGUAGCGUUCAGUUUCAGCCCCAGUGCCAUUAUGAUGGAUGUUUACAUCUCUUCAUUGAGAGCCAAUUAUCUCGCUUUUGUGUGAGGCCCAAGGAUCACUCAUGCUGCCUGGCUGCACAGAGCACUGUUGGAUCUAGCUGAACGAAUUGUUUUCUGUCUCUGAGAUAUGAAUAUGGGGAAGAAGCUGAACCAACUGAAGCAGUAGUCUUGGUCUGCUCAACAAGCCUGAUGAAAGAAAAGGUUUUAAUAGGGAUCGAACUUGGGUCCUUGCGCUUGCGCAGCAGGUGGCGAAACCACUGAGCUAAAUCCCCGGCCCCAAAGCAUAAUCUUUUGAAGUCACUGUAGAAUGAAAAGAAGUAAUCUUUUCAAAUGAUUUUAACACAUAGCACAGGAAAAUUGUUCUGGAAUUUACCAGCAACCAUCAAGACCAAGGUGAUACAACUGUGAAACCUAGCAUCGCUGGGGGAGAUUAGCUGUUCCACUCCUUGAAACCCAGCAAGGCUGUCACCUAUCAAAGGCUGCACCUUGGGAUUCCUUGCAAUAAAUAUCUGAAGAAGAAUCUAAUGCACCAUUAACGUCAAAGUGUCUCCCAGACUACAGUAUUGGCUUUUCCUUAAACACUUUAAGCACCAACCACUUGGCUUCUUUCCAGAUUCUUAGUUUCUUAUUGAGUCAGUGCUGAACCUGUAUCAUCGAAAUGUAGCACUUUGAAAACAGGCUUGUUAUAAGCGGCUUAUAGAAGAAAUUUUUUCCACAAAAUGUCAUUUCCUUUUCUAAAACAUGUUUAAUUCAUGUUGACCAGUACAGGCCUCAGCCAUGCAAAAUUUCUAAUAUUAUACCCCAUAUGAUACAUCAAAGCAAAUAAAUGUAGAUAUAAAAAUCUAAAAUAGAGUAAUUUAGAAUCUUCAGUCUUCACCUAUAUUAUUGAGUCCCUAUCCACUGCAGCAAAUGACAACUCUUUAGUUUACAGUUUAUUAAAACUUCACCUAAGAUUUAACAUUUAAUAUUACAGAUAUUGCUCUGAACUGAUUGCUGUACAGGAUUAGAAAAUGUUUCACUUUCAGUGAUGUAACAUCAAAUGCCAUUCAACAAGGACCAGUCAUAGCCUUUAUGUAUGAGCAAAUGAUGACAUUUCAAGAGAAAUCCUACCCUUCUCAUCUGUGAAGUUCGUUUUCAUCUUUUACCUAGCUAUUGAUUAUUUCAUUCGCUUUCCUCCUAAACACCCAUAGGUGUGUGCACAAAAGUGCACUGAUUCAACACCAGAAACCUGGGGACCACUCUAUUUGGCAUUCCUUAUCACUGCAGUAAAAAAUCAAAAAGAAAACUAUAUGUUAAGUAUUUAUGUUAAACUUUAUCCAUGUUUUAUUUAGUUCAUGACAGCCUACACCUUUAGCUGUAAUUUUCCUCACAUUGAUAUGAAAACAAAGAAAAAAAGCUACCCCCUUCAAGUUCCUCAAGAAUAGAAAAAAUAAAUAAUCCAACAAUAGAUAGUAAAUAACAGAGUCAGGACUGAAACCAAGACAUGCUGCCCUGAGAUCCUAUGAAUUUAAGUUUUCUGUUACGCAUGCUGCUUUUCUUUCCAAAGCUGAUCCCAUUUGAAGUGAUACAACUUCUGUUUGUGCAGCAAUAUUUGAAUCUUUUUUGUGAAUUAUGUCAAUCACCAGUGAAAGAAUAAGAUAAAAUACUGCUUUGUAAAAUAAAAGAAUAGCAAAUUGCUUUACCUCUUUAAGCUUCAAUUUUCUGAUUUCUAAUAUUUUUGUUAGAGAAUUGUAUUUGGUAUUAAAUAAUAUAAAUCACAUUUUAGAUAUUUUAACUGUAAAUUCCUGUGCAAAUACAAAUAAUACUAUUAUUAUGCUCCCCAAGUAAAAAAUUAAAAUACAAAUGUAUAUAUGAGUUACACCAAAUCUCAUAGAAUAUCAAAUGAAAGAGACAUAAAUACCCUUUAAAUCACUUACCACAUGUUCAGUGGAUAGCAAAUUCAAAGCUUCUGAUUUUUUUCAGUUACUUUUAGUAAUACAAAGGCAUUAUUUAUUAGCAUUUAUAUUACAAUUAUUACGUAUUUGAUUUAUGCAAUUAUGUUCUUCUUUGGUUAAUUAAACACUGUGCAUGGUAACUCAAUACCCUUCUAAAUGUUACAUAGGUGUUAAAUUGGCAUCUGUUUAAGAAGACAGAACAAAACCCAUUGUUAGGUGCGCAGACAUUAAACCAGGAAUUCACAAAAAAAAACAGAAUAAGUUUAACAGACCUUACCUAAGGAUAAAUUAUCUCUUUUGGCUUAAAACUUGCUUUUGCCCAGAAACAUUUCUCUUUUUAAAUGUGUGGAAAAUAGCAUCUCUGGCACUUCUUAAACAAAUAUUUUGCUAAAGGAUAUGCUUUAGAAAGCUUCUAUUAGUUGGCAAAAGUAGUUUAUUAUCUUCAAAGUUUUCUAAUACAUUAUAUCUGAUUAUCAAAAACUUUGAAGAUAUUAAAACUUUAGGCAUAAAUUUUUAGGUAAAUUUCCUUUUUAGUUUGACCAAGCUUUUGUACCACCUUGUCUAUAGGAGACAUCUGUCAGGGAUCCCCAUAGUGGUGACCCUGAUAAAAAUGCAGUGAGGGAGGGGGUGUCCUGUUCAUAACACAAUGGAAAUCACCUUUCCUAUUUGCCACAUAAAUUAGGGAGAAAAUGAAAUGUUGGAAGUAGAUAUUUAUCUUUUAAGGGUCAAAUCUCUGGAGAUACCUUGUUAUACAUCUGAGGGAAGAAAUUAUUCAAAAUUUUUUGUUUUAUUUUGUAAAUGGAAGAAGUGAAUUCCUUUGUGUUGUUUAGAACAUUUCCUUUUGGAGUACUCCUAUGUAAAUAAAUGAAAGCACACAUUAUUGUUGUUUUCCUUUUUUUUGAGGAGAGUAGCAGUACCUUGGCAUCAUCAGCUUUUGUGUUGUGAUUUUCUACUUCAUAAUGAGAUCAGCUUAUUCGGGGCUCAUUUUUUCCCCCAAAGAUGACUAGUUGAACUGAAAUUCAUUUAUACAAACAUUAUAAUUUAAGUGCCAAUAAUGGCUCUGAGUUAAAGAAUGAAUGAAAUCAGAAAGGUCAAAAUCUAUUUGACUUCCUUUAAAUAUUUGAUAGCUUGUUUACUUAAAUUUAUUUUAUUUGAAAUGCCAAGACAUUUGCCCUUUUCGUGUAGAUUGUAGAACUCUUCAUUAGUUUUUUUCUGGCAUCUGUUCAUUUCAAAACAUUAAACAUUGCCCAGUACAUCUAUGUGUUUCUAAGGGUUAAUUGAGAGGUAGUGUCUAACUUCAGAGCACACAGUGUGAUACAUGGAAACAGCCACUUAGAACAACUAAUAACCAAAAGUGCUUUUCCAUCCAUUCAAUACAUGUUUAAGUAUGCAUCAUGUACCAGUCAAGCUUCUAGAAUGGAGGGAUACUUUAGAAAAUAAAAUCUACCAAGUCCCUAACUUUACAAGCAGCUUUCAUCUUAAUGUUGAGCAAUUCAAAUGUUUCUGAUUCUGAUUGGUUAGAUUAAUAUCAUCUCUUCCCAUGGAAAUUUGCAAGGUCAUUGAUGAAGGAAAAUGGUGGUGACGUUUGAUAGACAUUAUCUCCUCCUUGCAAAAAGAUGAUUAUUUUGUGUUGGUACUAUUGAAAGAUCACCUAUAUAAAUAACAGUUUGCUUUUAAAUAUUGUGUAUUGCAACAAGUUAUAUAUAACCUUAUAUUUUGCUUAUAAGGCAAAAUAUUGUUUUGUAAGAUACAAACACAAUUCUCAUCUAUUGCUGUAACCAGGAAACUUCUCAUGACUUCCUAACAGCAGCAUAUGUAUUGUUUUUUAAAAAAUCUCUUUUAUGAUGUCCACUUUGUCUUUCACUUUAUAUAAUUAUGUGCUUCAUUGUAUCAUUACUAGAUUGAAAGUUACUUAUAGGAAAGAAAUCAUGUUAACAGUAAUCAUUUCAUUAUGUUUGGGACCUAACACAAGACAUGGCUUAUACUGCCUAAAUAUUUCCUGUAUUAACUUGAAUAACUUACUGUAAAUUAGGAAAUUAAACAAAGACCACAGAUAAAUAAAUAAUAUUCUGUGUGUGUCCAAUGCUCAGUUUGAAUUUCAGCAUAAAUUGGAAAGGCAUGUUUUCAUCCAUAUACAUAUCUUAAUAUUUCUCAUAUCAUCACUAUAUAUUAGAGAACUAUAGUUUUCUGGUUGCUAUCACUGAACUAUAUUCCUCAAGAGCAAAGAGAGAAGAGUAGGUUUAAAAUGUUAUUUAUUAUAUUAAUAUAAAUAGUAAACUUUAUGCAACACUCAUGAAAUUCAUAUGUAAAGAAAUAUGCAUUUCUGGAGUCAUUUACAUUGUUCCAAGGCUAUAUUUUCAGGGAUCAUUUCUAUAGUUCAUUACAUUGUUGCAUUUUUGUGAACACAGGUCUCUAUUAUAUCAUUAUUGGAGGAGAAAAUAACUAUAACACAAUUAGUAUUUACAUUUGUAAUAUUAUCUCUCUUACUUUCCAACUUCUAUGAUCAUUAAUAUGUGGGUUGCUCAUUAAUUUAUAGAUAAUAGCAGUUAUAGUAUAUGAAGAAAAAUUAGGAAAAGCAUCAAGCUAAUUAUUUUCUCUUUUAAAAUCUGCAUACAUUUCUUGAUCCUUCCAGACAGAACAAGCCAGAAGUUCACAUUUUCUUAACAAUGGCUUUGAUAACGCCUAAUAACUUUCACUGGCUAGCAGAGUCUACUUCCCCUGAGGAGUUAGGCAACUGAUAGGCUUGUUUUGUUAGUUUGACUUUGCUGAUCUUAACAAGAAAUAAUUCUCAUCACUGUGGUGAAUAUAUAAGUAUUGUAAUAACAUAUAUCUAACUGUCACUUGCUGACUAAAUUUUUUUUGUUCUUCAUAUAAAUUGGUAUCUUACAUACAUAAAGAGAAAAGAAUAGGGCUUGUUGGCAUAAGGAAUUUGUUUCAGAAAUGUAAGUUCUUAUUCCUUCUGUUACGUGGAGAAAAUGUGGAAAAUAAUACAACAUUCACUAUAUGAAACACAGGCAAGUCUUGUAAGUGGGAAAUUGCUUUCGUUUCUCAUUCUUCAAACAAACUUUAAAUGUUUCCCUUGAAUAGGUGACAGCUCUAGAAGCUGUGUCCUCAAAGGCUUUUUCUUAGUUCAAGCUAAAUACAUCUAUUCCAUUGGUGUAAAUAUUUCUACAAAAUAAUUCAUUGUGUGCACCUUCGAUUUGAUUAUAAAGUAGAUUUAGAAGACAUUUAAAAAUUAACUGUAGUUAGGUAAUGCACUCUACACUAUCAGCAAAGUACUUAGAUAAAAUUGUACAUGGCUGACUUUUUAUCUUAUCAUUGUUUCUAUUCACAUGAUUUUCCCUGAGGAAUAUUUAAUUGAUUCCCUUUGGUUUAAUCUUCCUUUUCUAUUAGAUUUCUUUUUCCUUGUCUACAAGAAAGUCAAUAAAUACAAGGGAUGGAUGUGGACAUGUAGUUUCCAAAGAAAACUGGAGCCAGGUCACUCAGAGGAGGAACCAUGUCUUAUUCAUUGUUUUUACCCGAAUAUCUAAUACAGAGUUUGAUGCCUAGUGUAGUUCAAUAAAUACUUUUUGAAGUGAACAAGUUGUACAUUAAGGUCAUGAGUGAGAUUCACCGAAACAACACAUUAUUGUACUUGAAGAGAGAGACAUGUAAGGGAUAUUAAACAGUCAAGAUUCAAAAACUUAUCACACAAAGUUCUGGUUUAAUAUUGAGGGGAAAAGAUUCUAGUUCAUAUUUCUGGCUGUAUCACUGCCUGAUUUAAUAUCAUUAGGUUAUAGUUAUACCCAAAUUUUAUUAUAUUACUCCUUUCCUCCAUCAAACACACAUUAUUCUAUUUCCAUGUCAGGAGAGAGAAGCUCUGGUGUAAGACACACCUGUUUUUGCUGUGAAUCCUUCCAAAUACAUAUGUGGAAUUACAAACAUGAUGAACAUGACAUUCAAAUACAGACUCACAAAGGACAAGUUAUGUUAGAUGAAGAAUCCAGGAUAAUAUAUGGUAACUAUAACUCUAUUUAGCAAAGUAAUAAGUUUGAAGAUCUUUCCUACGUAAGUAUUAAAAUAUUAAAAUCUGAAUCACAAUUCUAGAACUGCCAUGGUAGAUCCAUCAAGAAUGCACCCAUGUGAGCCAGGCACAGUGGCACAUUCUUGGAAUCCCAUCUACCUAGGAGGCCAAGCAGAGGAUCACAAGUUCAGGGCCCACCCUGCAACUUAGUGAGAGUCUGUCUCCAGCCUUAAAAAUAAAAUAAUAAAAUAAAAAAAAGAAAGAAAGAAAGAAAAAUAAAAAAAGAAAAGAAAUGUUGGAAACAUAGCCUUAGAUUUGAUCUCCAGUACAAAGAAGCAAUCACUUAUGUGAGAGGCUAAGGAAUUUAAAAUGCCAGCUCCUUUACAUUGAGAACCUUGUUUCGGUGUCCUAGUGGAUGAGUGCCAUCACAAAACAGAAGUACUGAGGAUCUCCUGUAUGAACCACUGUAAACACUUUAACAUCAGGGAGAGUAUAGUAGUGGCCAUGCUGAUGACCACCCCAUGACAUUUCCACUUAGGGUCACUCUGUGCUCAUUGUUGUAUGAAAUAUGUCUGAACUGGGAGAGGAAAUUGUCCCCAAAGGAGGUGUAUUCCAAGGUCAUCCCAGCAGCAUCUUUGCUGCAUUAGCACCUGAGGCAGAUUCAGCACCAAUGGGAAUGGAAAGAGCUUUUGGCACAGGCAGUCUCAAAACUGUGAUCUAAUACUGGAGAGAAAGAAAAUGACAAAAACCACACGGCCAUAAAGAAGCAUGUCCAAAUGUCUAGAUAAGAAUAUUCAGGCACAGAGAAAAAAUGCCUUUGCAAUUCAUGAAGAUGUACAAAAUACUUCUAGUUUAAAAAAAGAGCCGAGAUUGGGAAGAAUUCAAGACUAGAGUCUUAGAAUGAGAAGAUGAGGAAGAAAGCUCUUUUGACAAAUUACUCCCAUGUUAACAC
rnacentral:lncRNA from 1 species